rnacentral:rRNA from 1 species
GGUUGAUCCUGCCAGUAGUCAUAUGCUUGUCUCAAAGAUUAAGCCAUGCAUGUCUAAGUAUAAACAUCUUUAUACCGUGAAACUGCGAACGGCUCAUUAAAUCAGUGAUUAUUUAUUUGAUGGUACAAAUUAACUACAUGGAUAACUGUAGUAAUUCUAGAGCUAAUACAUGCGUAAAGACCUAACUCCUAGUGGGAAAGGUUGUAUUUAUUAGAUACAAAAUCAAUGUCCAGGCAACUGGUUCAACAUUGGUGAAUCAUAGUAACUUGAUCGAAUCGUAUGGCCUUUGUUG